UACAGAGGGGGCAAGCGUUAUUCGGAAUUAUUGGGUUUAAAGGGUGCGUAGGCGGUCCUAUAAGUCAGUGCUGAAAUAUCCCGGCUUAACCGGGAGGGUGGCAUUGAUACUGCAGGACUUGAGUAAAGUUGAGGUUGGCGGAAUUGACGGUGUAGCGGUGAAAUGCUUAGAUAUCGUCAAGAACACCUAUGGCGAAGGCAGCUCGCUGGGACGUUACUGACGCUGAGACGCGAAAGCGUGGGGAGCAAACAGG
rnacentral:rRNA from 1 species